rnacentral:rRNA from 1 species
GACGAACGCUGGCGGCGUGCCUAAUACAUGCAAGUAGAACGCACAGUUUAUACCGUAGCUUGCUACACCAUAGACUGUGAGUUGCGAACGGGUGAGUAACGCGUAGGUAACCUGCCUGGUAGCGGGGGAUAACUAUUGGAAACGAUAGCUAAUACCGCCUAAUAUUGAUUAUUGCAUGAUAAUUGAUUGAAGGUUGCUAUUGAAUCACUACAAAUUGGCCUUCCGUUGUAUUAGCUAGUAGGUGAGGUAUCGGCUCACCUAGGCGCCGAUAAAUAGCCGACCUGAGAGGGUGAGCGGCCACACUGGGACUGAGACACGGCCCAGACGCCUACGGGAGGCAGCAGGAGGGAAUCGUCGGCAAUGGGCGGAAGUCUGACCGAGCAACGCCGCGUGAGUGAAGAAGGUUUUCGGAUCGUAAAGCUCUGUUGUAAGAGAAGAACGGGUGUGAGAGUGGAAAGUUCACACUGUGACGGUAUCUUACCAGAAAGGGACGGCUAACUACGUG